UACAGAGGGUGCAAGCGUUGUUCGGAAUUAUUGGGCGUAAAGAGCUCGUAGGCGGUUUGUCGCGUCUGCUGUGAAAACCCGAGGCUCAACCUCGGGCCUGCAGUGGGUACGGGCAGACUAGAGUGCGGUAGGGGAGAUUGGAAUUCCUGGUGUAGCGGUGGAAUGCGCAGAUAUCAGGAGGAACACCAAUGGCGAAGGCAAUGUUCUGGCUCGUUUCUGACGCUCAGGUGCGAAAGCCAGGGGAGCGAACGGG
rnacentral:rRNA from 1 species